GAAAAGAACUUUGAAGAAAGAGUUCAAGAGAACGUGAAACUACCACGAGGUUAAAGCGGAUGUACAUACGUAGCCGAAAAGGGGGCCUCAUCUCCUCGAGCCUCCAGCGGUCGUCGCGUUCGGACCUUCGCUUUCCGUCCACACUUCGGUGGGGAUAACCGGCGACGGCCGUCGCGACGGCGGACUCGGAGGAUAGGGGGGUGGAUUUCCCUCCUCAGUAGGCAGUCGCGGCCGCUCGAGAGUUGUCUAAGACCCGGGAGUCGGGAACCGUCCGGCGAUUUACUCGCCGGCGGGGACUCUCCCUCGAUUCUGGCGGACUCUCGGACGGUUGAUAAAAAAUGACGACGUAGAGGAGAGCAAAUCCCUCGUCGUACGCGGCUGUAAUGCGAUCGUUCAUCCGUCCCGUCUUGAAACACGGACCAAGGAGUCUAACAUGUACGCGAGUCAACGGGUUGGCUAAACCCCAAGGCGCAACGAAAGUAAAAAAGGGCGUCCUCUUUAAUCGGGAGGACGCUCGUUGGGUCGAUCCGUGCUCCUCUUUUAUUAGUAGGACCGGCGCAGACCCGGGGCUCGCCGCUACCUCUUCGAGACUCGUUUCUCGAGGCGGGCGGCGGGCACCUAGAGCGUACAUGCUAGUACCCGAAAGAUGGUGAUCUAUGCUUGGCCAGGAUGAAGCCAGAGGAAACUCUGGUGGAGGUCCGUAGCGAUUCUGACGUGCAAAUCGAUCGUCAGAGCUGGGUAUAGGGGCGAAAGACCAAUCGA
rnacentral:rRNA from 1 species